CAUUCAUACAGUGUCUAUUGUUCAUUCAUACAUCCCAGUUGAUUCUAUAGUAUUCUUAGUAGCACUGGAUAUACAGCAGGAGCAGGAACUUUUCAUGUGUAUUCACUGGGACUGUAUACCCCUUCCUUUUUAUGCUGAAGACGAGAGGGUACUCAACCUAAUCAAGAAAUGAAGGGAAAAAAAUUGGAGGUUUUGAGGACCGCCUUUUAUAUUUUAUUUGUGGCAACAGUAGCAUCUUCAAAACCAGUCAGUCUACAUGGAUUCCAAUUCAGAAGCAUGAUGGCUGACAGCCUGGCAUCGUCUGAGUCCUGGGAGUCCAGCAAGUCUUCCUCAGAGAAUGGUCAGCCAAUGGUCGCUGGCACUGAUACCGCAAUACCAGACACUCAGGAGGAGACAGACCCACCAGACAGCGAAGCUAUAGCCUCUGAAACAGCCUCAGAAGUUGAUGAUGCUUUAAUUGCUUCACAAACCGCACUUCAAACUGAUGCCUCAUCAGCAGAUGUACUAAAUGGGACAGAAACUGAGGCUACCUCACAGCAUCCAGUCAUCGUUGCAGUGACUGAUUCUCCCAGUCUGACUUCUGAUAAUGCCACAACCCAUAUACGGUCUAUGGUCACAACGGCUCUGCCAUCAAUCACUGACACAGCCACAAUUCAAACAUUCUAUGUGGGCACAACUCCUCCUCCGGGCCCAUACCCCAUACCCAUUAUGGAGCAGCCAACACCUCCACCAGUCUCCCCAAUACUAAGCCUAACUCCCCAGCAGUCAGUUCCAUUGGGAACCACUGAUGACAUAGCUGGUGUGCCAGGUUGUUUUACUGUAGUAUACAUAACAAGACCUCAAGCUCAGCCAGUUCCAGCUAGAGGUGAUAACAUUUAAAGCAGAGAGGAAGUUAUUAUAUCUUUGAUUAAAGUCAGACAUAAAAGCUGGCUUUUUUUUCUUCAUUUGUCUUUAUGAACAUAUGAGCAUGUUGCAGCCACAUAGUGAGCUGGAGGGGCGCCUGUGCUGCAACUGGCUAAAACGCUCAUGAAAAUGAAUCACUAUAAUAUUUUGCACUAUAUAAGUGAUAAAUAUGUAGAUGUACUGUACUUUAUAUUGCUCAGUGUCUUCCAUGAGUCAGUCUCACAUGUAUUUUUUCCCAUCUUUUAUCUUUUGUCUGAUUUAUUUUGGAAGGUGACACAGAUUGCAUUAACACUGUCAACAACAUUUAGUCUAUUUGCAAAAGAGGAUCCACCAUCUGUAAAUAAAUGCUCUUUAAACAUUUAGAAAAAGGACGGAAGUCAGAAAGAGUACCUUUUCGUGUGCUGCAGGAUAUUUUGGGCCUUUUGAUUAUACUGCAAAACUUAUUACAGGCGAUUUACAGAUAAUGCCAGCUGUUGGGCAUUCUUUGUGACUCCCAUUGUGUCCUCAGUUAUCAUUGAAUGAAUGAAUGAUGAUACAUUCCUGGUUUAAUUUUGUACUGUAAAGUUUGUCUGGUAUACAAUUGAAUGUCUGACCCAGAAAGACACAGAGACCCUGGAGCAGAUGGCGUUUAACUUCUGGUAUGAAUGCAAUGCAGUGAGUGAACAAGAGGGUGUUGUUGUUUUUUUCUGGUAUUACAGAGACACAUUUGUUAAGAGAUACCAAAGCUCAUGGCAUGAAGUAUGUUUGCCACCGCACAACACACAUUGAUCAUUUACUUGUGACACAGACACAGAAAAAUAUUUUUCAAAUAGCUUCACUACUUGGACCCCAAAUAAAAAAUGUAAAGUUGUACUUUUUCAUAUUCCUACAUGGAACGUAUAGGAACCAUAGACCAAGGUGGACCCUUAAUGGUCAGCCUACCAUACAAAAGGCAGCAGAAGGUAGCUAAAUGCAUCUGCCACGUUGUAUAGAUGAUAACCUGCAACCAGUUUAGCCCCCUGUUGUCCUGAGAUGAUAACAGUCUGUAAUCUGAUGCAUUGCGAAUGUUAAGCUCUUGAGCCGCUUAAAACCACUUGCGGUGUAAAAUUCAUACUCAUCUGAUAAUGUGGACAGAACACCAUACUAACAUUAAUAGCCUGGUCAGAAAUUACCUCUAUUUUGUAACACUUAUUAGGCACUGUUUUUCAAAACUCCCAACUGAAAUAAGUAAGUUGUUGUUGUCUUCAUUGGGAAUUGUAUUCAUUAACAUUUAUAAAAUGUUGAUUGACAUUUCAAAGCCUCUUAUUCAAGUACCUGUGAAGAUGUAUAAUAUUCAUAAUUUGAAUUUACUGUACACUCUUCACUCUUCACUCUCACUCUUAAACACUCUUUACAAUCCAUUUGGAGGUCCUAUUGAAAUCCACGUAAUCCUAUGGUAUGAUACUGCUUGUGACUGAGUACUACACCCUAAUAGGUCUUGAUGUGUGUCUAAUUACUGUAAUGACCAGGUCUGUCUAGUCAACAACAAACACUAUUUCUGCAUGUUCUUCACUUAAAUACAAAAACAUUGUAGUGAAAAUAAAAUAAACAAAUGCUUGCUCCUAGGGAUGAGGUCAAAUUUCAAUUUAGAUUGACCUGACCCUCAGUGCACUAGUUCAUAUAAACAUGUUUUUUUUGUGAAACACUAACAUAGUUCUCCAGAGCCUGGCAGCUCUAUUCAAACAUCAAGGCUAUAACAAGUUCAGCUUAAGUCCUUAAUUGCUUUAACCAAUAGACUGGUAUGGAAACAGAGGAGAAAAAAGGAAAUACAUUAUAUUGAAACUGGCCCAGUACAAGUGUUUGACUGGAUCUGUGUGUAGACCUUUUAAUCAGCAAGUCAAUAAUCUGAUAUCCUAUAAGAGGAUUCCUUUUCCAAGCCAAGUUAUGUCAGACAAUAAAAUGGCUGUUGAGUUAUUUUAUAGAAUUAAUAUCUUCUCUACGAUCACUAUCAGUCUUCUUGUCAGUGUUAUUGUAUAUAAUUGUUCUCCAUGUGUAGUUGUAACGUAAUUAAUGUAAUUUAAUAUCUUGUCAAAGUGAGCUUGUGGCCUUGAUUUUAAUAGGCUAAGAGAGACCACAGACACCUGUUGUCCACUCUGACAGGAAGCAUGUUAACAUCUUAAAGUCCUUAUCCUGUUUAAACACCCACACAACCUCUUUGUUCUCCUGCAGCACAGGGGUCUCUGUGUCAUUACAAUCUGGCAAUAAACAAUUAACAAUAA